rnacentral:rRNA from 1 species
UACGGAGGGUGCAAGCGUUAUCCGGAUUUACUGGGUUUAAAGGGUGCGCAGGCGGAUAUGUAAGUCAGUGGUGAAAUCUCCGGGCUUAACCCGGAAAUUGCCGUUGAUACUAUAUAUCUUGAAUGCUGUGGAGGUAAGCAGAAUAUGUCAUGUAGCGGUGAAAUGCUUAGAGAUGACAUAGAAUACCUAUUGCGAAGGCAGCUUACUACACAGAUAUUGACGCUCAUGCACGAAAGCGUGGGGAUCAAACAGG